rnacentral:rRNA from 1 species
ACGGGAGGCAGCAGUGAGGAAUCUUGCGCAAUGGAGGAAACUCUGACGCAGCGACGCCGCGUGAAGGAAGAAGGUCUUCGGAUUGUAAACUUCUGUUUUUAGGGAAGAAGAAAGUGACGGUACCUAAACAGAAAGCUCCGGCUAACUACGUGCCAGCAGCCGCGGUAAUACGUAGGGAGCGAGCGUUGUCCGGAAUGAUUGGGUGUAAAGGGCGCGUAGGCGGUUUAUCAAGUCAAUCGUGAAAACUACAGGCCUAACUUGUAGCCUGCGGUUGAUACUGUAAAACUUGAGUUAAGUAGGGGCAAGCGGAAUUUCCAGUGUAGCGGUGAAAUGCGUAGAUAUUGGAAGGAACACCGGUGGCGAAGGCGGCUUGCUGGGCUUACACUGACGCUGAGGCGCGAAAGCAUGGGUAGCAAACAGGAUUAGAUACCCUGGUA